rnacentral:rRNA from 1 species
AAUCAACGCUGGCGGCGUGCCUAACACAUGCAAGUCGAACGCGAAAGUGGAGCAAUCCAUGAGUAGAGUGGCAAACGGGUGAGUAACACGUGGGUGACCUGCCUUAGAGUGGGGGAUAACGUCCCGAAAGGGACGCUAAUACCGCAUAACAUGCUGCCUUUUAAGAGGUGGACAUCAAAGCCGGGGACCGCAAGGCCUGGCGCUUAAAGAGGGGCCCGCGCCUGAUUAGCUAGUUGGUGGGGUAAUGGCUCACCAAGGCAACGAUCAGUAUCCGGCCUGAGAGGGCGGACGGACACACUGGGACUGAGACACGGCCCAGACUCCUACGGGAGGCAGCAGUGGGGAAUUGUUCGCAAUGGGCGCAAGCCUGACGACGCAACGCCGCGUGGAGGAUGAAGAUCUUCGGGUUGUAAACUCCUUUCGAUCGAGACGAAUGGCCUUUGGGCUAACAUCCUGAGGGAGUGACGGUACCGAGAGAGAAGCCCCGGCUAACUCCGUGCCAGCAGCCG